rnacentral:rRNA from 1 species
UAGGGAAUCUUCGGCAAUGGACGAAAGUCUGACCGAGCAACGCCGCGUGAGUGAAGAAGGUUUUCGGAUCGUAAAACUCUGUUGUUAGAGAAGAACAAGGACGUUAGUAACUGAACGUCCCCUGACGGUAUCUAACCAGAAAGCCACGGCUAACUACGUGCCAGCAGCCGCGGUAAUACGUAGGUGGCAAGCGUUGUCCGGAUUUAUUGGGCGUAAAGCGAGCGCAGGCGGUUUCUUAAGUCUGAUGUGAAAGCCCCCGGCUCAACCGGGGAGGGUCAUUAGAAACUGGGAGACUUGAGUGCAGAAGAGGAGAGUGGAAGUCCAUGUGUAGCGGUGAAAUGCGUAGAUAUAUGGAGGAACACCAGUGGCGAAGGCGGCUCUCUGGUCUGUAACUGACGCUGAGGCUCGAAAGCGUGGGGAGCAAACAGG